rnacentral:rRNA from 1 species
CCUACGGGAGGCAGCAGUGAGGAAUAUUGGUCAAUGGGCGCAAGCCUGAACCAGCCAAGUCGCGUGAGGGAUGACGGUCCUAUGGAUUGUAAACCUCUUUUGUCGGGGAGCAAGGCCCGCCACGUGUGGCGGGAAGGAGAGUACCCGAAGAAAAAGCAUCGGCUAACUCCGUGCCAGCAGCCGCGGUAAUACGGAGGAUGCGAGCGUUAUCCGGAUUUAUUGGGUUUAAAGGGUGCGUAGGCGGAAGGUUAAGUCAGCGGUCAAAUGUCGGUGCCCAACACCGGCCUGCCGUUGAAACUGGUCGUCUUGAGUGAGCGAGAAGUAUGCGGAAUGCGUGGUGUAGCGGUGAAAUGCAUAGAUAUCACGCAGAACUCCGAUUGCGAAGGCAGCAUACCGGCGCUCAACUGACGCUGAGGCACGAAAGCGUGGGGAUCGAACAGGAUUAGAUACCCCAGUAGUC